rnacentral:rRNA from 1 species
UACGUAGGGACCAAGCGUUGUUCGGAUUUACUGGGCGUAAAGGGCGCGUAGGCGGCGUGGUAAGUCACUUGUGAAAUCUCUGAGCUUAACUCAGAACGGCCAAGUGAUACUGCUGUGCUAGAGUGCAGAAGGGGCAAUCGGAAUUCUUGGUGUAGCGGUGAACUGCGUAGAUAUCAAGAGGAACACCUGAGGUGAAGACGGGUUGCUGGGCUGACACUGACGCUGAGGCGCGAAAGCCAGGGGAGCAAACGGG